rnacentral:misc_RNA from 1 species
AAGUCGUAACAAGGUUUCCGUAGGUGAACCUGCGGAAGGAUCAUUAGCAAUUGUAACGGCACUGUGCGCAAGCACUUUGCCCAAUACAAAUACCCCUUGUGAACCGUCUUGUCACUGUUUGGCCACUUUGCGGUGGUCAAGCAAACCAAAAACAAACUUGUUGAAACAUUCAUGACUGAAUCGCGUAUGAACACACAAAGUAAUACACAUACAACUUUUAACAAUGGAUCUCUUGGUUCCU